CCGACUCCCCGAGGAGUCCUUUCCACCCGAGGGCCAGUGAGCCGGGGAAGAGGACUUCUCACUCCCAGAGCAAGAGGUGUCCCCCCAACUGGAUACAGACCUCCACCGCCACCCCCAACACAGGAGACCUAUGGAGAGUAUGACUAUGACGAUGGGUACAGUACAGCAUAUGAUGACCAGAGCUACGACUCCUAUGACAACAGCUACAGCACCCCAGCACAAAGCGGAGCGGAUUACUAUGAUUACGGGCAUGGACUCGGCGAGGAGGCUUAUGAUUCCUAUGGGCAAGAGGACUGGACUAACUCAAGACAUAAGGCUCCUUCGGCGAGGACAGCGAAGGGCGUCUACAGAGAGCAGCCAUAUGGCAGAUACUGACUGUACUGUCUGAUGUUGUGAAAUAGCCAAUCUCCACCGUCCUGUAUACUGUUCAAAGAAAUGUUGACCACCUUGGACUGUCAGAGGAGCUCCGUGUGACUUAGAGCAAACAAAGGAACUGCUUCUGGGAAGGCUGCUUACGGACGGUCACCUCACCCUCGUGCCUACUCAGCAAAUGAACCACCGGCUCUCGAACUUGACAGUCAUCAAUCGAUUAUUAUUGUUUUGUCCCAGAUUUAUGGUUUUUGGAAUGCUUUUAUGAAACUGUGCUUUUUUUUAAUUUAGAAGGUUUUUAUUUCUUCUUAAAGAAAAUUCUAUUUUGUUGUGUGAGAAACAAAAACUGAUUUGUAUUGUAACUAAUAAAGGCUCCCCAUCAAAAUCUCUUCUAUUUUAAUAUAAAUGAAGACCAAAAA
rnacentral:lncRNA from 1 species